rnacentral:rRNA from 1 species
AACGAACGCUGGCGGCAGGCCUAACACAUGCAAGUCGAGCGCCCUUUCGGGGGAGCGGCGGACGGGUGAGUAACGCGUGGGAAUAUGCCCUUCUCUACGGAAUAGCCUCGGGAAACUGAGAGUAAUACCGUAUACGCCCUGUGGGGGAAAGAUUUAUCGGGGAAGGAUUAGCCCGCGUUGGAUUAGGUAGUUGGUGGGGUAAUGGCCUACCAAGCCGACAAUCCAUAGCUGGUUUGAGAGGAUGAUCAGCCACACUGGGACUGAGACACGGCCCAGACUCCUACGGGAGGCAGCAGUGGGGAAUCUUAGACAAUGGGGGCAACCCUGAUCUAGCCAUGCCGCGUGAGUGAUGAAGGCCUUAGGGUUGUAAAGCUCUUUCAGCUGGGAAGAUAAUGACGGUACCAGCAGAAGAAGCCCCGGCUAACUCCGUG